UACGUAGGGUGCAAGCGUUGUCCGGAAUUAUUGGGCGUAAAGAGCUCGUAGGCGGUUUGUCGCGUCUGCUGUGAAAACCUGAGGCUCAACCUCGGGCUUGCAGUGGGUACGGGCAGACUAGAGUGCGGGUAGGGGUGACUGGAAUUCCUGGUGUAGCGGUGGAAUGCGCAGAUAUCAGGAGGAACACCGAUGGCGAAGGCAGGUCACUGGGCCGCAACUGACG
rnacentral:rRNA from 1 species